rnacentral:rRNA from 1 species
AAAGCAGGGGACCUUCGGGCCUUGCGUUAUUCGAGCGGCCGAUAUCUGAUUAGCUAGUUGGUGGGGUAAAGGCCUACCAAGGCGACGAUCAGUAGCGGGUCUGAGAGGAUGAUCCGCCACACUGGGACUGAGACACGGCCCAGACUCCUACGGGAGGCAGCAGUGGGGAAUUUUGGACAAUGGGCGCAAGCCUGAUCCAGCCAUGCCGCGUGUCUGAAGAAGGCCUUCGGGUUGUAAAGGACUUUUGUCAGGGAAGAAAAGGCUGUUGCUAAUAUCGACAGCUGAUGACGGUACCUGAAGAAUAAGCACCGGCUAACUACGUGCCAGCAGCCGCGGUAAUACGUAGGGUGCGAGCGUUAAUCGGAAUUACUGGGCGUAAAGCGAGCGCAGACGGUUACUUAAGCAGGAUGUGAAAUCCCCGGGCUCAACCUGGGAACUGCGUUCUGAACUGGGUGACUUGAGUGUGUCAGAGGGAGGUAGAAUUCCACGUGUAGCAGUGAAAUGCGUAGAGAUGUGGAGGAAUACCGAUGGCGAAGGCAGCCUCCUGGGAUAACACUGACGUUCAUGCUCGAAAGCGUGGGUAGCAAACAGGAUUAGAUACCCUGGUAGUCCACGCCCUAAACGAUGUCAAUUAGCUGUUGGGCAACUUGAUUGCUUAGUAGCGUAGCUAACGCGUGAAAU